GACGUAGGGCGCGAGCGUUGUCCGGAUUUACUGGGCGUAAAGGGCGCGUAGGCGGCCAGCACAAGUCAGUUGUGAAAUCUCCGAGCUUAACUCGGAAAGGUCAACUGAUACUGUGCGGCUAGAGUGCGGAAGGGGCAACUGGAAUUCUUGGUGUAGCGGUGAAAUGCGUAGAUAUCAAGAGGAACACCUGCGGCGAAGGCGGGUUGCUGGGCCGACACUGACGCUGAUGCGCGAAAGCUAGGGGAGCGAACGGG
rnacentral:rRNA from 1 species